GGGCCUCUAGCUCAACUGGCAGAGCAGCGGACUUUUAAUCCGCGGGUUCCGGGUUCGAUCCCCGGGGGGCCCACCG
rnacentral:tRNA from 1 species